ensembl:lncRNA
CAUUUCCAUUCUGCUCGGCGUCGUUGCAGCGCAGAGCAGGGAGGUGGGGAGCCGAGAUUUGAGCCCCCAGGGACCCCCAGCUCUGAGGCUGGGUGCUGGGCUUUGCUGCUCCCAGUGCUGGGGGGGGAUGGAUGUGGCACCAUGGAGGCAUUGGGCCCCAGGAAGAUUCGGGUGCUGAGAGCAGAGGGGUGAGGCACAGAAGGUGGGAUCACACCCGGGAGGUGGGCAGCAGGUGGACUGCUGUCUGCAUGAUGCUGCUACUGUGUGCCCCCACGACAAUGAGUUGUUGUUUCAGCAACCCCCCCACAGUGUCUGAAUUUGGAAGUUCUCUAAGAAAGAAGGAAAUACUUGGAAUCCAGGGGCUGCUCUUGGCCAGAAUGCAGUGGUUUUGUGAAUCCCAAAUUUCAAUUGGCACAAAGACGAAAUGGCCCCACAUACGAAAGAUGAGCUAUUGAAAGGAAGCAAACUCACCAGAAAGCCAGGAUUAAAUUCUUGCAGGAGGUAUGCAGUAGAAAAGGGGAACAUAUCCAGGCUCCUCAGUCCCCAUGGGAUGGAGCUCACUGGGCGCAUCACCACCAGCUUGAGCAGAGCCAGGGCUAUGGUACAGCACAUGCAAAUGUCACCAACGCUCUUGUCCCAAUGAGUCCAAGAAGUGCUUUUUCACUACAACUGUGUUGUAACACGUUCACGCUUCUUUCACACGCAUUUAGAUGCCUUGUUCCACAAGUAUCGGAUUCAUUAAAUUCACUGAGUACAGUUGCUUUUCCCUUCUUGGCUUGCAAUAUCUCAAAGUUGAACCUGUUAACC